rnacentral:tRNA from 1 species
GCGGGUAUGGUGGAAUUGGCAGACACGUCAGAUUUAGGUUCUGAUGAGCGCACGCUCGUGGAGGUUCAAGUCCUCUUACCCGCA